AUAAGCCCUCCGCUCCCUUUUCUCCCUUUUCUCCCUUUUCGUUCUUUUUUUUUCACGCUUCGCGGUUUCGUUUUCGCUUAGGAAAGAAAUCUGCCGUUCCCCCCCCCAUCUCAUCUUCCUCUCGUUCGCACAGUCGCAAACGUAUACACGCAUAGGCGCGCCCGACCACUUCGCCCACCGGCUCCGUGGCGGUUCUUUUUUUUGUCGCUGUUCCCUCUUCCCCCUUUCCUCUGUUUCCUCACAUUCACGUACGCGCACGUGACCAAACCAUGUCCCACAACCCCGACUACACCGUGAUGCAGGACGGCGGCCGUCAGCGUUACAAGGAGGAGACUCAGUCGUCGACCCCAGCGAGCGGCGAUAACCGCGCCGCUGCCGAGAUCGAUGCGACCAUCUGCAAGGAAGAGAAGGAAAUGCAUGAAACCUUUGACCAGGUGCAUGAACUCGUGACAGAAUGCAACGCAGAGGUGGAGGUGCCCAAGCAGCAGCCGAUGUUCCUCGUGCGCCUGAUGCGCCGCGUAAUCCCGCCGGGCGGUUUCGCUAGCGGCGUCUUCAACCUCGCUGGCAGCAGUCUCGGCGCUGGUAUUCUUGGCUUACCCUACGCCUUCGACACGUCCGGCAUCGUCAUGGGCACAAUCUACCUUAUUGUGAUUUAUCUGCUGACGGUGUACUCGGUGCGCCUCCUCGCUAUAGUCUACGGCAAGACGGGCAUUAGGAGCUACGAGCUGACAGCGCGCAUUCUCUUUGGGCGCGGCGGAGACAUCUUCACGGCGGUGAUCAUGUUCAUCAAAUGCAUGGGCGCGUGCAUCGCCUACGUAAUCUGCAUCAACGACCUGUGGCACGCCUUUCUCAAUGACGAUCGCGUUCAGGGCUACUACCGGAGUGUGAGCUUCCAACGCGUGCUCACUUCAGUCACGUUUCUGCUGCUGAUGCUGCCUCUCUCGCUGCCGCGGCAGAUCAACUCGCUCCGCUACGUCUCUCUCUUCGGCGUUGUCUUCGUUUUGUACUUUGUCGUCUGCGUCGUCAUCCACUCCGCCACCCACGGCCUGAAGGAGGGCAUCACCAGCAAGGGCCUGCGCUUGUUCAACACGGGCAAUCGAGCCAUUCAAGGACUCGGCCAGUUCGUCUUCGCAUUUCUGUGCCAGUCGAACGCGUACCAGGUGUUCAACGAAACCCCCAAGCCCAGCGUUCGCUUCUUCGAGUUGCAGGUUCUUGUCAGCAUGCUCAUCUGCACCGUCUUUUACUGGGUGACCGGCUUCUUCGGCUACUGCGACUUUGGCGACAAGGUCGGGUCCUCGCUGCUGCGCAUGUACCGUCCGUUGACGGACUACUACUUUGCCGUCGCCUACGUUGGCCUUGUUGUGAAGCUCUGCGUUGCCUUCGCGCUGCACAUUCUGCCCUCCCGCGACUCAGUUCACCACCUCAUCGGCUGGGAUUUGCACACCGUUGCCUGGUGGAAGAACGCCGUUCUGUGCACCUUCCUCAGCCUCGUCUCGCUGCUGUGUGGCCUAUUCAUCCCGAAUGUAAACACCGUGUUUGGCCUGCUCGGCUCUUUCACCGGCGGCUUCAUCGCCUUCGUCUUUCCGGCGCUCUUCUUUAUCUACAGCGGCGACUACGAGCUGAAAAAGGUCGGCUACUACAACUACUUUGGUGCCAUCGUCCUCCUCAUCUGCGGCGUCACGAUCAUUUGCUUCGGCACCACCGCCACGAUCUACGGCGUGGUGUAGUAGACGAAGCAGAGAAGCGGCCGCCUCUCCUCCCGCCUCCUCUUUGCCCAUUAGCGUGCAAGAAGAGGCAAAGCGGCACAAGACGCGCGCUGAAAAGCGUCUCCCUCCCCUCCCUCCCCUCCCUCCCCACACGCACACAUACACGCACCCAAGAGCAGGGAGAGACUCUACGAGGAGAGGCAGGAGAGGCGCGCUGGUGGGUGCCUGCAUCUGUGCUGUGUUUUCUUUGUUUCCCCCCUCCCCUCUCGCUAAUAUGCAGGAGAGCGGCGCACACGUUUGCACGCUACGGGUGAAGUGGGAAGCGGCGGUGAACGGUUGAUUCGGGCUUUCGUGCGUGUGUGUGCGUGCUUCUGUACCUAUGUUCUUGCUUGGGUGCAGAUAGUGGCGGCGAUGAUGGGCUGCAGGGUGAUUCACACAAGGGGGGAGGCGAAGAGGGGGUGCACGCGUACACAGAAGACACGAGGGCUCUUCACCUUUUGUUAUUGUUCUUCAUCGUCGCCGGCCUGCUCUCUGACUGUUUCCCCACGCGCCCCCACCCCUUCACCAAACCUUCUUCUUCACAGACAAGUGCGCAAGGCCGAAGAGGCAGCCGUCAGCACCCCCCCCUCCUCCCAAGCGCACCCUGUAUGUGCAUGCAUCGACAUGUACGCAGACCACGAGCAGACGCAACAUGGUAGAGAGCGCAAACGAGAGGAAAGAAAGCGAAAAAGAAACGAACCCCCUUCCCCCUCCCCCCAAUAAACAGAAAGAUGAUAACAAGGGCAUCGCUUCAUGUAACCCAACCAAAACUGCGAACAAACCAAACGGAAAAGGGGAAACAACAACAACGAAGAAAAAACGAUAUAGCUCUACAGGAGAGCCUGGUGCACUGAUAAAAGGUAGAUAAAGGAUUACCCCUACCCACAUUCCCUAACCUCACUCCUUCCCUGCUUCCCAUGAUCUGGGCCGCCCUGCGCGUGUGCCUCUGCCUGUGCCCGUCAGUUUCCUUUGGCAAUUUGCUAGUGCCUGAGCGGCAUGCAUGUGAGCGCUAUGCUUGUGGGGCGCCGACGAAGCACUCGCAGAGAAAAGACAACUCUCCUCGUCGGGAAGCGCAUACUGUGGGCGACACGUUCGUGACAGCACACUACAUCGAUGCGUAGAAGGAGAGCGGUGUAGAUCACGACGGAGAGGGAAACGAAGAGAAUGAUUUUCUCCGCCCCCACCCCACCCUCCUCCCUUUUCUCCGUUGGAUUGCUUGUGUGUGUGCGCGCCGUUCGUUAUGCUAACUUUUAUACCGGAAAUAAGCACGUGUUUUCUUCGUUAUACAACCGAAACAAGAACGACGUAAGAGAGUUGUCGGAGAGACGCCAAGGUGCGCGAGGAGGCACUGACAUAGAUAAGGUGUAUGUAGAGCUGCAUGUUUUUCGUUUAUGGCUCAGCUUGCGUAUGUCGCGCUCUCUCCUUUUCUUUUUCCCCUUCUGUUUUUCCUCCUACCAGCACGCCCUCGUAGCUGUGAAUCGUGUUUUUUUUUGCUGUGCUGUUGUUGUCUGCGCUCCGCUGUUGAGGUCCGUGGAGCGUGCGAGCGGGGAGCGGGUGAGCCACAGAGACACGUGAACCGGCUGUUCAGAGGAACGCCCACGCGUAUCGGUGAUACCUGUUUGGCAGCCAUGGUGAAGGCGUUCACAGUGAACGAAUGAACAGCGGAAAUUUGUGAGCGUACACGUCAGCCUCCUUCUUGUCGUCUUUGCGUCUUUCUCACAACCAAUACUUCGCUGCUUGCGGCCUGCCGGCUCUUCAGGUAGGAAAGGACACGUUUUUUCAUUUUUUUUUCUUCUUGCUUGCUUCUGUAUCUCUGUGCGUGUGUGUGUGUGUGUCUGUUUCUUAUUUUUUUUAGUGCUCUUUCGUUUUCCUUCGGUCCUUCGUUGUUGGCUGGGGUGCCUCGUUGUUGUUGGAGAAGGGGUGGGCACGUGCGUGUGUUUGUGCCUCUCUGUGUGCGAAUAUAUAUAUAUAUAUAGCUGCGGUUGUGUAUGCUCAUGUGCGUGCGUGUGUGUGUGUGUGUGUGCCAGGAUGGCUCCUCGAGGUUAGCCAAAACACACACAGCUCUGCACCUUCACCACCCACUCUCCUCCUUCUUUUUUUUAUUGUCUGUUGCUCAGCAUUUCUCUUUCCUUGAGAUCGACUCCCUCCAAGUGAAUCCUUCCCUUCUUUCGUGUGUGUGUGUGUCGGUGUGUGCAUCAGCUCAUCCCCCCUUCAUUUCUUUGUUUUUCGAAAUAGGGAGCGAGAAGGACAGCGGGCACGAGGGAGCGGAGGUGUGCAAAAAAAGGGGGUGAAUGGCAUGAUGUGCAGCGAAGGGCGGGUGUGGGCGGGUGCUAGCUGGAAAGGGU
rnacentral:misc_RNA from 1 species